AAGUCCAAGCUUCCUCAUGAAGAGGAUCACAUCAAGAGUGAAGCCAAAGGCACAGGAAGCACAGCUGGAAUGGGGACAUAGGAACGCGGGGGCUCCCAUGAGUUGACCGGACAACUGAGAGAUGGCAACCUAGACCUGGGGGACAAAAUAUGCUAUGUUUUCGUGAAUCCAUGAUUCGACCUGAAGAAGAAGGAAAGAACUGGACAUCCAGAUGAGUACAUUGAUAUCGAAGAAAAAAAGAGGAGGGAGCACACAGGUGAGCAGGUGCAGGAACCAGCCGGACAAUUUGCCGCCAGCAGGAAUGAACUCCAAGCAGGCCCCACUGCAGUAUCCAGGUCGGGGUGCCUGUGACUUCUGAAGCCACAGAGGCAUUCUUUUGCUACUUACAUGGUGGAACUCCUUGAACAGAAUAACAGACCAUAGUGCCUGCCUGGAAUUCAGACUGGAAAAGAUUGAAAUAUCUGUGUAGUUCAUAUAUCUGAAACACUGACUUCAUCUCACUCAUGAGAAUUCAACAGUUAUGCUAAAGAUUGUGUUAUGGGAGCUCCUAGAG
rnacentral:lncRNA from 10 species